UGGGGUGUAUAUUUCAGAUUUUAAGGUGUUUUCUUUGCUAAUAAUCAUUUCUUGUUUGCCAGGGAGAAGGAAGCUGACCUGCGAUCAACGGAAGGUCACUAUGUCUCAUCUGAAACAAUACCGGGUGUAAACUUAGGAAGUGAUGAUCCUUCGUCUCAAGGACACACAGAUCAAAGUAGCGUAAACAAACCGGCAGAGAGCAUGUUGAGUCUGGUUGAAGAGUCAGCCAGUGAGCCAGCUGAAGAGAACAUGAUGGUUGUGCGGGUAGAGACACAGUCGCAAAUAGAAGCGCUUUCAAU